rnacentral:rRNA from 1 species
UACGUAGGGUGCAAGCGUUGUCCGGAAUUAUUGGGCGUAAAGAGCUCGUAGGCGGUUUGUCGCGUCUGCUGUGAAAGCCCGGGGCUCAACCCCGAGCCUGCAGUCGAUACGGGCAGACUAGAGUGCUGUAGGGGAGACUGGAAUUCCUGGUGUAGCGGUGAAAUGCGCAGAUAUCAGGAGGAACACCGGUGGCGAAGGCGGGUCUCUGGGCAGUAACUGACGCUGAGGAGCGAAAGCGUGGGGAGCGAACAGG